rnacentral:rRNA from 1 species
GACGAACGCUGGCGGCGUGCUUAACACAUGCAAGUCGAACGGAAAGGCCCUGCUUUUGUGGGGUGCUCGAGUGGCGAACGGGUGAGUAACACGUGAGUAACCUGCCCUUGACUUUGGGAUAACUUCAGGAAACUGGGGCUAAUACCGGAUAGGAGCUCCUGCUGCAUGGUGGGGGUUGGAAAGUUUCGGCGGUUGGGGAUGGACUCGCGGCUUAUCAGCUUGUUGGUGGGGUAGUGGCUUACCAAGGCUUUGACGGGUAGCCGGCCUGAGAGGGUGACCGGCCACAUUGGGACUGAGGUACGGCCCAGACUCCUACGGGAGGCAGGAGGGGGGAAUAUUGCACAAUGGGCGGAAGCCUGAUGCAGCAACGCCGCGUGCGGGAUGACGGCCUUCGGGUUGUAAACCGCUUUCGCCUGUGACGAAGCGUGAGUGACGGUAAUGGGUAAAGAAGCACCGGCUAACUACGUG